rnacentral:rRNA from 11 species
UGUCUUGGCUCCCUCGACGAGGAAGAACGUGGCCGAAGCGCAUUCAAGAAGGUCCGUUGCAG